AUGUGGGCGAUAUGGUGGGCUCGUCGCAAGGCCAUUCAUGAGGGAAACCUGCAGAGCCCAUGCGCGACUCAUUCAUUUGUGAAGAAUUUUAUUGCUGAACUUGCAAUUAUUCAAACCGGGACAGGAGCAAAGCACGACUCAUACGCAGCAGCGAGACCUAUUGCCAGGCAAAGGUGGAUAGCGCCCGAACUUGGAAUUGUCAAAAUCCAGGUCGACGGGGGAGUUGACAGAGACGGGAGAAGAGGGGCUGCUGCUACAAUAGGCAGGAACCACGAUGGUCUGUUCCUAGGCUCCUCAGCAAUGGUUUUUGAUGGGAUAAACGAUCCACCGAUGCUGGAAGCGUUGGCUUGCCGCGAGGCUCUAGCCCUAGCUCAGGAUCUAAAUUUAGAUCAGAUUGUUGUUGCUUGUGAUUGCAAAACCGUUGUGGAGGAAAUUAAGAGUGGGACGGAAGGGAGAUAUAGCAUUGUUAUCAAGGAGAUCCAGGCCCAGGCAAGACAAUUUUCUCGGUGUGAUUUCAUCUUCGAAGGUCGGCAAGGGAAUGUUGAUGCUCAUAAUUUAGUCAAAUUUUGUACUUCUCUAGAACAAGGGCGCCAUAUGUGGCUGGGAGUACCCCAUGACCCUUUUGUUAUCCCUGUAAACCGAAACACUAAUCAAUAA
rnacentral:rRNA from 1 species